UUGAGACACUUUAGUUUAUGGAUUGCUCUAGAGUCUAUUUAGGCAUGAUCAUUCCUUGUAUUUGAUUGGUUUGGGUUUGAUUAGAUGGAUAAUUGACCUAAGGCUAAGCCAUGAUAACUUUGGUAAUGAUUGAAUUCUUCGUACCGUAAAAGUGGUAGUAUGUUUGUUAGUGGCAAUAAAUAAGCUUCAGAGCUUGGAUAGGUGGUUUUCAUAAAUCUAAGGAAG
rnacentral:misc_RNA from 1 species